UACAGAGGGGGCAAGCGUUGUUCGGAAUUACUGGGCGUAAAGGGCGCGUAGGCGGCCUGUUAAGUCGAACGUGAAAUCCCCAGGCUUAACCUGGGAACUGCGUCCGAUACUGGAUGGCUUGAAUCCGGGAGAGGGAUGCAGAAUUCCAGGUGUAGCGGUGAAAUGCGUAGAUAUCUGGAGGAAUACCGGUGGCGAAGGCGGCAUCCUGGACCGGCAUUGACGCUGAGGAGCGAAAGCCAGGGGAGCAAACGGG
rnacentral:rRNA from 1 species